rnacentral:rRNA from 1 species
UACGUAGGCAGCAAGCGUUGUUCGGAGUUACUGGGCGUAAAGGGUGUGUAGGCGGUUGUUUAAGUUUGGUGUGAAAUCUCCCGGCUCAACUGGGAGGGUGCGCCGAAUACUGAAUGACUAGAGUGCGGGAGAGGAGAGUGGAAUUCCUGGUGUAGCGGUGAAAUGCGUAGAUAUCAGGAGGAACACCGGUGGUGUAGACGGCUUUCUGGACCGUAACUGACGCUGAGACACGAAAGCGUGGGUAGCAAACAGG